CCUACGGGAGGCAACACGGUCCUCUGGAUUGUAAACCACUGUCCCCAGGGACGAAAAUGACGGUACCUGGGUAGGAAGCUUCGGCUAACUACGUGCCAGCAGCCGCGGUAAUACGUAGGGAGCGAGCGUUGUCCGGAAUUACUGGGUGAAAGGGGAGCGUAGGCGGGGAUGCAAGUUGGGUGUCAAAACUACCGGCUCAACUGGUAGUCGCACUCAAAACUGCAGCUCUUGAGUGAAGUAGAGGCAGGCGGAAUUCCUGGUGUAGCGGUGAAAUGCGCAGAUAUUAGGAGGAACACCAGUGGCGAAGGCGGCCUGCUGGACUUUUACUGACGCUGAGGCUCGAAAGUGUGGGGAGCAAACAGGAUUAGAUACCCCUGUAGUC
rnacentral:rRNA from 1 species